UCAUCUAUCCUCUCCACCAUACUUUUCCCUAUCUCUCUCUUGUUCUAAUAGAUAUAAAACAAGAUCACAAAUGAAAUCAAGAAACUGAUGAGCAUCGUAUCCAUGUAGACGCCAUCUAGAUCUAGAUCUGGACCGUCAUGUAGAUCUGGAUCCACCAUGUUUCUCUACCUCAUUCCAUAUGCUCCGAACAAAAAGAUGCUCCGAAUAAAAAAGAUGCUCCAGAUGUUCGGGUUGAAGAUGCUCCAGAUGUUCCGGUUGAAGAUGCUCCAGAUGCUCCGGUUGAAGAUGCUCCGGGAACAUGCUACCAGAUCCAAAAGAUGCUCCAGAUCCGGUUGAAGAUGUUCGAUGUUGAAGAUGAUGUUUCAGAUGACGGUUUGAUUUUGAAGAUGAUCCAAAAGAUGUUUGAUGUUGACCAUGAUGUUCCAGAUCUAUAAGAUUCUCCAGAUCCCAAAGUAUGUUUGUGUUUUUGUAGAUCUUCAUUUUUUGUGUUUUGUAGAUCUUCACCUUUUUUUGUAAUUUUCAGAUUUUGCAAUUUUUUUUGUGUUCCAGAUCUAAAAGGUCAUCUAGAUUUGCAA